rnacentral:tRNA from 1 species
UGCAUCGGCCGGGAUUCGAACCCUGGCCGCCCGCGUGGCAGGCGAGCAUUCUACCACUGAACCACCGAUUC